rnacentral:rRNA from 1 species
UACAGGGGGGGCAAGCGUUGUUCGGAAUUACUGGGCGUAAAGGGCGCGUAGGCGGCUCAUGAAGGCUGUGGUGAAAGUCCGGGGCUCAACCUCGGAUCGGCCGUGGCGACUCGUGGGCUGGAGCACUGUAGAGGCAGGUGGAAUUCCGGGUGUAGCGGUGGAAUGCGUAGAGAUCCGGAAGAACACCAGUGGCGAAGGCGGCCUGCUGGGCAGUGGCUGACGCUGAGGCGCGACAGCGUGGGGAGCAAACAGG